ACUCCUACGGGAGGCAGCAGUGGGGAAUAUUGCGCAAUGGGCGAAAGCCUGACGCAGCCAUGCCGCGUGUGUGAAGAAGGCCCUUCGGGUUGUAAAGCACUUUCAAUUGGGAAGAAAAGCUGCUGCUAAUAAGCAUCAGCUGUGACAUUACCUUUAGAAGAAGCACCGGCUAACUCCGUGCCAGCAGCCGCGGUAAUACGGAGGGUGCGAGCGUUAAUCGGAAUUACU
rnacentral:rRNA from 1 species